AUCGUUCAUCUCGAAAGAGACGGAAGUAGGUAAUGGUUACCGAAGGAACGCACC
ncrna:unclassified sequences Glutamine riboswitch